AUCAGGAUUGUACAAACGGGUGUUCAUUUGAAGCGCUUAGCGCCUAAAAUUAUGCAAUCGAUAAACAAAAACAACGUUAAUUAUCAUUUUCUUUGCAAGUUGCGAGUUUACAAGCUUUGUAUUUUCUGUUUAGCACAGCUAAUUAAAGGAGCAUAAGGAGAGCAUGACAUUUUUUAUCUUUCCUCUCGCUUCACGUGUAAAGGGGAGAGAAAAAAAUACGAAUAUCUAUACCAUGAAACUAAUCAAUGCUCACUUGGCACAACGGCCAUUCAUUAGGCGCAGGAAGGAAAUAUAUGGGAAGAAGCUAUUUGACUGAAUACCCUUCCCUUGCGCGUAUUCCCGUGUAACAACAUAAAUGAAUUGUUGAAUCAAUCGAUCGUUGGCAUAAAAAUCGGAAACCUGCCCCAGUGUAACUUCAAUCGAAUUGAGAAGACAGAGCGGCAGGGUACGGGCAAGGGACAUGUAGCAUUCCAAUGAAAAACUCCCCUUGACCGAAGGUUAGAGGGUAGGAGGGUUCUCCACACCCAAAAACCCGGUUCCGGUUGAAUGCAUCGCGCACCUCUGUGUUGUGGUCCCUGCUGUUGCUUGUUUUUUGUCGAACUACCCCAAACCGCACCCAGGUUUUUUUGUGUUGUCUUUCCGUGCCAAACCCUUUUAUUUAAACCACCCGCACAUCCCACUCAUUCCACACACACACACACGUGCGCGCAUAGAAACGAACUCAUUCGCCAUCGAAAAAGAACCGUUUCGGUAGGUAAAUCGGACGGGGGUUUUUUGUAUUGUUUUCCUCAUUACUUUUCCUGCGUCUGGCAGCUAACUUGCCGUACUUUGUCAACUUCAUCAACUCGGUACGUGAGCCCCGUUUCAGCUCCGUUUAGCUUCCUACACCAUACACCGAUUACACGAUCGGAGCAUCAAACAGCUUUUCGCCAGUGAGGCGAUCGCUAUUUCCAGCUGGAUGAGAUUCAAAUUAAAGCACCGUAUUUGGUCACACGUGUGCUCGCGCGCGUGUGUGUGUGUACGGGAGACCACCCUUACAAAACAUAAUAUAAGUACGCAGCGUACGGUCAUCAGCAUAAAAUGUAUCAACCAUCGUUUCCCUUCCCGACCGCCCCAAAAAAAAAAGCAUCCAACAAACAUUUGUGUGUUGGAGCGUGCACCGUUGCAAAAAUGGCGCUGCAAAACCGUGUCAGCCUACCCGAAAAACUGACAUCUACGGGUGAAGGGGUGUUCCCAUACCGGAAGCAGCAUCCACAAACUGUUUCGCUACCCUUCACCGGUGUGCGGAAGUGCGGAAGUAUUCUGUCCCCAAAAACUCACACGGUUCGAUAACCGUUUUGUGCUUGAAUUUUCGACCAUCCACAGUGGAGCUGAGUGUACGUUGUUGGUUGCAGAGGAGUAUGCACAUGUGUGUGUGUGUGUGUGUGGAAAUGGCAGGGGGCAAUUGCAACUAGAGGGUGCCGUUUUCAGCAUCGCAGCUGGUGUCUCGACCGGGUGAACGAUGUGCUUCGGCAUGUGAUCAGUAGUCCGCGGUGAUUAGCAUGAGGCAGACGAACACCUACCGUAAACCGUGCGGAGUUGGGCGUGUGGCUGUCGCGCGCAUUUCUGUGAGUGUUCGGGAACCAAUAAAGUGUAGCUUUUUUACCCAUAAGAUCUUCUAAACUUUAACCAUAUAAUCCAUUCGUUGUGAUCUGCUUAACGGUGAAAAGGAAUCUGUGGUGCGUAAAGUUUGACAAAACGUUACUGAGCAUCGAUACUGCCAAUUCUUGAUAAGUAGACGUACUGUUUCGAAACUCAGAAAGGCUGAAACAGUUCUGCAUAUCACUGAGCAAACAUCUACAUUGGAGUUCCUCGUCCCCGUGUGCCAAAUAUCAAGAUACGCCGAAAGAUCCUGAAAUUCGUGUACGAUCAACCUAACCUUCGUAAGGAACAACCUUCAAACGUGCAAGAAACGUACAGCAAACGUUCACCAUUAUCUUCAUGUCCAUUCCAAAAUCGCCCAAAAACGAACCGCUUGCCCUAAACGGUUACACGCAAUAACGUUUUCAGCAUCAUUGCCAUUGUAGCCAAAUGGGCCGUACAGACACCGUUACCAUUGCCUCCUUCACAUGCAAAAAAGGCAAGGUAGUUACUCUAGCCUCAAACCAGUGCCACCGGAGGCUUAUAUUUACGCCGACAGCCUUAAGUGCUAUGUAAAGCGGGAAAACUUCGUCUUCCUUAUAUCUACCUUUCAAUGUCCGUACCCCUCUCUCUUUCUCUCUAUCUCUUUUCUACCUCCUCUUACUCCGCUAUCAGUCAGGUUUCGUCUGAAGACUUCUCAACAGGUGUGCAAGCGGUGUAUAUGCUUCACUGCCCGUUCGCAAUCUGCUCGCUACCAUCCGUUUCCAAACCCUGACUGCUGGCUUUCAAACUCCUUUCCACUGAUCCCACACCAUCGUUAUCGGAUCGGAGAACACCCUGUUUCCCUGUACAUAAGGACGUUUCGGGAAGAGGCCUCAAUAUCCCCUGGAUACCUGGUGGAGUCAUUUCGCGCCAACACAUGCGUCCUUCUACCUUUCUGAGGUAUGGCUCUACACCUUCUGCAAUACGCGCAGGAUGCAUUGGAGCAUCGUUUUUCUGUGACACUACGGCAGUACGGCCACAACUAUUGGCGUGCUGUGCAUUCGCAUCCCAUCCCUGGGAAAUCCUUUCCACCCAUCCUUAUCCAUUCCUCUUUCCCCACUUCUUCUAUAGCACCAUCAUGCUAUAAAGUCCUCCAUUAUGGCACACUUGCUUUUACAUUCUAGCAAAUUAACGCUCCAAAAACCCGAUGCGUUCGAAGCGGCAAAAAGGCUUAGCCGUUGGCAGGUACGGGGUAGGGGGAGUGGGGAGAGCAUCAAUCGAAUUGACUCUUUCCACGGUUCCAACCACCACCAAUCCACACUCAUCCUGUGAAAAGCUAACCGGUACGCUACAACAGGAACGUUGCACUUUUCCCGCACUUUUGCAUCCAGUUCACGUCCACCUUGCAGCAUGGCCAAUUAGAACGGUGACGACAGCCAAUUUUCAUGUACCCUCUCUCUCACUCUCACUCUUGUCAUACCACUCUUUCUCACUCUUUCUAUCUGUAUCCCAGCUGUAGUUUUCCCUCCUGUUCUGCUGCAUGCGGAUUGACAGUGGGAAACUGCCAUACACCAUGUCCUGCGGCGCAUGAGCACCAUGCAAAGCAGAGCAAACAUAGUACCGUGUGGCGAAAACACGGCAAGAACGAAAUUGCUACUCCACAUAUAAAACAUCAUCCCUCAGCUGUACAUCUUACUUUACCGUUUUCCUGCUGAUUAUGGUCCGUUUGUUGUCGUUCGUAUCGGUAUACUCGUCUACUUGCGAAAUCGUCGGGGAGCGAGAGAGAGAAUCAGAUGGAGAAAAGGAGAGAGAAGAUAGGACAAAACCAUUGCGCCCAUUUAUCGUGCUUAACAAAGAUCGGGGGCUGGGAAAAAGGGGUUGAAUAUGGGGUGGGGUGGGGUAGGGAAGAUUGAAUGGGUGCAGGAGGGAAAAGACACGAGUGGCUACAGAAAAAAAACGAAUACCACCCUAGCAGCAAAUCAACUUCCUUUCACAUGCAUCCGCUUUCUUUCGUUACUUUCUUGAGGCCCUGUUCACACAUCUUGUUCUAGGGUGGAUGAGUGUCCUUAGAUUGGAUAAAGGGUAGCUAUUUUAGGGUGGAAGAAAAUAGAAGACGCGCCGCGUGUGCGUGUACAACACAUGACACAAACAUGAAACAGUAACAGAGAGAAAGAAAAACGAGAGAGAGAGAGAGAGAGAAAGAGUG